rnacentral:lncRNA from 1 species
CCGCGUGUCAGCUUUGACCUUGGUCAAGUUAACGUUGACCGGUCCCACCGGUCAUACACCCAAACCAGCCUGUGACACUGACCGAAGGGCCCCACUGGUCAGGUUUGACCUGGACCGCGCCCGUUGACCGCUGACGUCACCCUGACGCAAUGCUGACGCAAUUAACAAUUUUCUGGAUUUAAAAUAAAUCCAGGAAAUUUCAGAAAAUAUCCUAAACUUCUAAAAAUCAUAGAAAUUCAACCGUAACUCCAAAUGAAAUAAAUUAUAUAUGAAAAAUGAUCAGAAAAAUCCAAUCUAUCCAUCUGUACCAUUUUCAUGCAUGUUAGAACAACUUAUAGCUGCUGUUUAGCACAAAUCAUUUAAAUGGCAUUUGAAUAAUCACAUAUGGAGUUUGAAUUUGAAUCUUGUAUUCAAACCAACUCCAUUUAAUCUGUUGCUAGUUGCAUUAGCUCAAACCACAGCAUAUUGCCUUGUCAUGAUCAUGCAUCAUAUUGUGCAUUUGCAUUGAUUGUGUUUCUUUCUCAGUUGCCGGUAAUUGCCCCCUCUCGAUAGACGCGUUCCGACGAUGAGUUCGAUGACACCGAUGAAGAGAUAUAUUGUCUUCAGAAGUGCCAGGCAAGCAAAACCCCCUUGUUCAUUCCGAUACAAUCCCACUCUCUCGCUCCUGCUCUCUUUUACUGCAUUAGGACAACAACGUUUCAACUGUUACAUGCUGCGGUAGUUGAACCCCUUUAUCCUCUGCAUGACCUGUCAUUCCACAGUAAAUAGAUGAAACCCACUAGCAUGAGUAGGAGUUGUUUGAGCCCUGAUGUGCCUACUCAUUCAUGCUUGUUUGUCAUGCCUGCUAUUGCUUAGAGUUGUGUCAGGUCUGAUUCAUCGGGAAUGAAUCGGAGGUGUGUGAACAUGUCCUACUGUUGAGAGCUAAAUGUGUGAACACGAUUUGGUAAAGGUAGCGGUGAGAGGCCAUGUAGGAGUACAUGGUGGGUUGUCUCAUUGCAGCCGUCCUCAGGAACUGAGUUCUGUGUUUGUGAUCCAUGAACAGUUACUACCACACAUUGGGUUCCGAUAACUCGACCCCUCUCGGCUUCUUAAUCACCCUUGUUCUCUGUCCAGGAGUUGCAACUAGUUUCUGGUGUUUGUAGGUAGAGUUAGUAGUCUACCAAGUGGCACCCGGUACAGGUGGGCUUGGGACAGACUAGGCACAGUGGCCCGGUGUACCAAGUGGCACCCGGAUGGUGGACUUGGGAACCCUGCACACAUCAUUUGGGGCCGUGAGCGACACCCCGGCCGGAUCUCCUUGCGGAUGGAACCCGAAUAGGCGAUAAACCUGGACGAGAGACUUGAGUGUUUAGGUAGGCCGUGGCCGACUCCCUCGCCCGGCUUCCGCUUGAAGGUUGCCGAGUUACAUGACGUGUACAGGGCGAUAAGUGGCGAGAGCGUGUGUGAAGAAGUACACCCCUGCAGGGUUAUCAUUAUCUAUUCGAAUAGCCGGAUUCCUCGGAUAUGGAAACUUGGACCCCUUGCAUAGUUCAUAGACAAGUGAAAGUGGAUACCCUAAAAUGCGCAAGAUAAGCGUGAGUGCUAUGGAUGGCGUUCUCGUAGGGAGACGGGAGCGGAUCCAUAGUGGUGUAUUGAUAUGGUGAAUAUGUGGACUCGUGUGCGCCACCUCAAAGAGUUACUUGCAGUCGUAGUUCAGGAUAGCCACCGAGUCAAAGCUGGCUUGCUGCAGUUAAACUCCACCACCCCCUUUGUUGAUAAUGAUGCAUAUGUAGUUAGUUCUGAUGUAAGUCUUGCUGGGUACAUUUGUACUCACAUUUGCCUAUUUUAUGUUUUUGCAGAGAGACUUCAGUCUCGCUAGUAGUUCCACGUGGACUUCGACGUUUAGCUUGUUACCUCAGCUACGAUCUUGUGCCCUCGGCAGGAUCUGGUAGUUAGUCAGGCUUCUAAGCCUUUUUCAUUUAUAGAUGUCUGUACUCAGACAUGUUAAGCUUCCGCAUGUGCUUUGACUUGUAUGCUCUGAAUGUUGGGUCAUGAGACCCAUGUUUGUAAUAUCUCGCUCCUCGGAGCCUAAUGAAUAAAUACUUGAGUCGUAGAGUCAUGUUGUGAUGCCAUGUUGUAUUUGCACAUAUCGAGCAUAUUGUGUGUAUGUUAUUAAAAUGCUUGUUAUGUGUGGGAUCUGACUAUCUAGUUGUUUAUCCUUAGUAGCCCCUCUUACCGGGAAAUGUCUCCUAGUGUUUCCACCGAGCCAUGGUAGCUUGCUACUGCUCCGGAACACUUACGCUAGCCGGCAUGUGUCCUUCUUCGUUCCUGUGUCUGUCCCUUCGGGGAAAUGUCACGCGAUGAAUACCGGAGUCCUGUUAGCCCGCUACAGCCCGGUUCACCGGAGUCCUGCUAGCCCAGUGCUACAGCCUGGAUUCACUCGCUGAUGACCGACACGUUUGAUGCUGGGUCAUGGAUGCCUGUCCCUGUAAGUUUGUGCCACUUUAGGUUUACGACUAGCCAUGUCAGCCCGGGCUCCUUAUCAUAUGGAUGCUAGCGACACUAUCAUAUACGUGUGCCAAAAGGCGCAAACGGUCCCGGGCAAAGGCAAGGCGACACCCGUGGGAAUACCGUGCGUGAGGCCGCAAAGUGAUAUGAGGUGUUACAUGCUAGAUCGAUGUGGCAUUGAGUCGGGGUCCUGACAGCUUUGGUAUCAGAGCUUGACUGCCUGUAGGAUUACCAAGCCAAAUUGGUCGAAGUUGAGUCUAGAAAUUCUUUAGUUAUAUAAGGGAAUUGAUUGUGGGAUGGAUUGUAAGGCCCUUUUUACUCCUUAUACCUUAUGCCUUCUGAUCUGAGUCAUCCUAUCUUUCCUACGGGGUUAAGGAACUAGGCCUUCUCUUCUUUCUACCAGGAUCACGUCUUACUAAUCCGUAGACUUGUAGGAUUGAUGGAUUCAAGUCUCAGUUCAGUUUGUAUUACUUCUGUGUGUUCAUAGUUGAUCUCGAAACCUUGAUAUUGUGCUUCUGAGUGGCGAUGCCACCAUUUUUGUAGCAUGUCUAACAUUCUUUUGAGCAUUUACAGCCGUUAUGCUGUCCGAGUCAUCCCAGGUUUCUAAACAGUCUGAUGCAUUUGCAAAUCCCUUCCUCUCGUUCCUGAUGUCCUUUUAGGCCAGGUUAAUCACACUAAUUGCUGACUUGAGGUAUUCUAUUGCCUCGACAUAUAUGUUGGAGUUAUUAUUAUGACCCUAGGUGUCUUAAAGUACCACCUAGUACCCUAGCCAUGCUUUGUGUUCUCAUUGUGAUGAUUCUGGCCACCGUCAUUCUCGAAAGCAUCCCGUGAUGCCACUUAGUAGUAGGUAUUCUACUCCUUGGGUUUUCAACCCGAGAUUCACCCUACUUACGUCGUGUUGAUCGUGUUGCUAGUUCCUUUAGGAUAUUAGUAACCUUUGCGAUAGUCCUCGAGGUCCGUGGUAUAUCGUUCUUCCAAAUACCAUGAACCAUUCUUGGCAGGAGUUCUUUUGAACCCAAAGAUCACAACCAAAGCGCUCUUGAUGAGUUCUCCAUUCUAUUCUGUGAAUCUGCCAGUCCUACCUUCUGCGUGGGUUAUCCGGAAGAAAUGUUGAGCUUUGCUCGACAUACUAAUCUAUGCACCCACAACUCAGAAAGAUAUAUGUUCCUUUGAGUUGUCCCUCUUUAGUUGUCUUCUGACCCUCAUCUAUCAAUUGAUAGCCAAGAGUAUGCGUGCAUUCGUUCAUCGAUGCCUAUUACCCUUGUGGUCCGUCAAGCCAUUCUAUUCCAGGAUGACUAGGAGAAACAAACUCCAGAACCUCAUCCAUAUCCAGGAUUGGGUCAAAGCAGUUGUAAUUCGCAGAUCAAAAUGCCAAUCCAGCUUCUGGUCUGUUCCACCUUGAAGUAUUACCUUCCUUGUGUCAGGAUUGUCAUGAGAAUUGCACCACCUCUUAUGAAUUCUUGACACAGUGAUACUUCUCGCCAUCAUUUUUAUUUCUCGGUUUCCGUGUUGUUGCAACCGGAAUGCUGACAGGUGAACUAUGAUGUGUGAAAUCAAUACUCCUGGCAACUUUGUUGUUGGGUAGCUAAUGGACAACAAUUUCAUUCUUAGCGUGUUGGUUAUUGAAUCAUCAUCCGAAGAUUGAUCGUGCUACCUAGUCCAUAUUUCCUGGUGCACUCUUCGAUCAAUGAGUUAGGAUUAUCCAAUUCCUUGCUUAUUUCACCAUAUCACCUUGCCCUGAAAAGCAAGAUUGAUCUCGAGCUUAGAAACAUACCGGUGGUUCGUGAUUUUACGAAUAUCUUCUCGGAGGUAUCACCAGGUUGUCACCUGACCGCUAUGUUGAUUUCGUGAUCAAGUUGGUUCCUUGUAACCACCCUUUCUCCAAGAAUCUGUGUUGGAUACCCUGGGCUAGUUGGCUAAGCUAAACAACAACUUGGAGAGUUGGAAGAUGAAAGCUUGUCCGACUCAGUUCAUUCCAAAGGGAUAUCUUUGUGUGUGUGUGUGUGUUAAAGAAAGAUGAUGUCUUCAUUGAUUGAUCCUUGUGGUCAAUUGUUGGAUUUAUUGUCUUACCCCAACCUUUGAUUUGAGUAUGGGCUAUCAUCAAAUCAAAUCAGAACCAACGAUGUUCGUAAUGUUGUCUUACUCGUGGAUUUUCCUCGAGCAUACACCAUUAUAUCUUUUGGGUCUGACCAAUGCUAUUACAUUGUUCACAUAAUUGUGGAACUCCAUUUAUAUGGGAACACAGAUGAAUUGUUUUUGAGCCCAUCAACAACAUUGUUAUCUUCUCCAUGAUCCGUGUUGAACAUCCAGCUAGUGUUGGAAACUUGUGUAAACAUUUCUUCGUGUUUCGUUCAUGAAGCAUAUGUUCGGAUGAAAGAAGUGACUACCUCCGAUUCACGUGUAUUUGGUGAAAGUUGCCGCCAUGAAUUCGAGAAAGUUUGUUUUGCCUCCUUUGGAAUCACUUCAAAUCAGUCAUGCAUCUGUGCGAAGUACUCUGUGGUUUGGAGACUUGCAACCUUCAUUCUAUAUGUGUCCCUAGCACACUAAGCCACUGAUUGAUUUGUUCAAGGAUAAGAAGUUCAUCAAUAAGUGCACAAGGACUUCGAUGUCCUCGAUGGUGGUUCCCCACCUGAACUCGGUAGUGUUUUAUUAUAAGACUACUACGUGGUCAUGCUUGUCUCGGACAACGUGUUCACAUGUAUGUAGCAGAAACAGCUCAUGUUUUGGAGCUUGCUAUCGUAGUUCAUUUCCCGAGAAUCUCGCAACGUCAUCUCGUCGGUUUGUGUUGCAAACUUUCAUUUCUCUUUCUAGACUUGAUGAGUCUGAAAUAUCAUGUUACCAAUCAGAUCUGAAUCUUAGGCAGAUAUGAUGGUUGGAACUUCUCCCAAGAACUAUGAUAUAGGUUCCAGUGAAGUGGACGCACCUAGCUGGAAGUACUAUUAUUGUAGUAUCUUGUUUAAGUCGUUUGGUCACCUCCCAUGAGGAUCACGCAUGACUUAUUCUAAAAAGUUGAUCCUUAUGGAUUUUGUGCUCCCGAAGUCCGACCUUUUACUUGAUGUCCUAGAUAUGAAACCAUAUCUAUGAAUGGGAUACACUAGCACAUCAAGGAGAACAUUAGAAGCGGAGUGCUGAAUGUCUCUCGGUCGAUCAUCCAGAUUUUGUUUUCUUGGCCUCGCUAAGGUGAAAUCUGAGAAGGUUAUCCUCCUUUGCAUCUGCAUCGUCCAUCGUUGUUCAUCAUGGUAGUCCAUUGUGUUGCCAGGAUCCUUGACACGGAUAUUGGUAAGACCUUGAUGAAUAUGGAAAUGCUCAAGUUCUUGAGAGCACGCUCAGUCACUGGGUUAUAUCCUCGACAUGAGCUGGAAUGUACUUUCCGUUUGCCGAGUUGUCUUAUAACUCUAGUUCUCUUUCCGAUCCGAGUAUGCCAUUUCUUCAAACUCCUUCAAACGAUCGUUUGUAUUUUUUUUCCUUGGGCUAGUAUAAAGUGUUUCAAUGAUCUUUGUAUCAAAAGUAAUUCUUUUUUCCAUUUAAGGUAAUAAUUCUACGAGUCACCUUCCUUAAGUUGUCUCGUUAUGUAUCAUGGCAACUCAACUCCUUGCUACGUUGACAACCGUUCACCACCUUCUUAAGUGUGGAAUUGUGUCUACGUAGUGAACCUUCAUCAUCUGUUACACUCCAUCCCUCUAGAUGUAUGUUUCUUGUCUCAACUCGAGAAAUGUUCAAUGUCUCAUUCCGCGAGUUGAUCAUCGGUUGUUCAAUCUUCGAGAAGAUCGAUUCUUCUAAAAUCCUCCCUUUCCUCUCGUUGUCAUGUUGGAUGUAGGUCUCAAAGCAAGAUGUCAAGAUCAAGAUGAUGCAAUGAAUCAACAUUCUCGAGAAGGACACCUGGAUCGUGAAGAUUGUCUUAGUUUGCGUCCCCCCUCAUCUUACCCUACUCCUGAAUCUCGGGACGAGAUUCUUGUUUAGUGGGGGUGAGUUGUCACAGCCCUAGAAUUCUGCUUUGUAAUUAGUUGCAUCAGUGAGUGGCAUCCAUGCAUCAUGUCUGAAUUUCUAGUGAAAUUGAAUUGAGGGAAAUUCUCAAGCCUCACAGAUCAUUUCUAAAAAAUGAUCAACCUUAAAUAAAUUGCUUCAAAUGAGUCCAAGAAAAUGUUCCUGUUAUUUUGAAAAAAAUAUUGGCAUGAGGUAAAAUGCAAACCGAUAUUUUUGGAGUGACUGAAACAUUUAUUUUGGGCCUUUGAAUUAAUUCAAUAACUAUUUGCAUUGGAUAUAUAUUUUAUAUAUAAUUAAUAUAUGUCCAAUAAUUCUGGAACAUUUUAUGUGGUUUGGUAUAUUUCAGUUCUAGCCACAUAAUUAUUUUCAAGAUUUUAUAAAAUGGUUUAGUAUUUUUACUAAACCAAAACAAAACAGAACAAAAUAGAAAAACUGAAACAGAACAAAUAGGAAAGAGAGAGAGCUUACCUGGCGCUCACCUGGAAGCCCAGCUGGCCCAGCACUGUAGCUGAGGCCCAACCCACUAGGGCGAAGCGGUCGUCUUCAACCUCUGCCAGUAGGCAGAGGCGUGUCGACGCCAGCGCGCCCGAGGCCUCCACCUCCUCCCUUCCAGCCUGCCUGGCUCCUCCUCGAUGCACCUGACGACGCCACGUGCCCCCUCGGACCCCUCUCACUCUCUCCCCAAGAUCCUCUCCUCCUCUCCUCUCUCUCCCUCCCGCGAUCGAACGGAGCCCGUCGCCGCCGUUCACCGUAGCCACGGCCACCGACCACCCCUCGCCCUGCCGAUGAGUCCAUAAGCUCCGCCGUGACGACCUCUUCCUCUUCACCAAGUCACACGGCGCCGAACGGCCAGGAACGUCGCCAUCGAGCUCAUCAUCGUCCUCUGCCCCGACGAUCGCCGCCCGUCGAUUCGCCGCCCCGAGCGCCUUCCCGAGCCCACGGAGCUGUUCUUCGACCCCCCAGUGAGCUCCUUCACCGUCUCCCCUUAUCCCCAUGGCAUGUAGCUCGCCGUAGCAUCUCUCUCCGCCGUGCCGCGAGGUUCACGCCGCCGGCGAAGUCGUCACCGUGGCUAGAGCAAGCUCAGCUUGCCCCUGAGCACGUCAUCGCGCUCGUGCUGCUCCCAGGAGCCAAACUAGCCCACCCGUUCGUCCCACCGUGCACCACAACGCCGAUUCCAAGCACUCCCGAACUCCGGCCGCCGUGCAAGUCGCUGCCGCCGUCGAUUUAUCCCACCGGAGCCGUGCUGCGUGCAUCCCUCGAUGCGGCCGAGCAAGGGCUAUGCCCUGGUGGCCUCAGCGCGCCAAACCCCUGCCCGUAGCGCAUUCCCGAGCGUCCCCGCCGCGUCUGAGCGCUCGCCGGUGUUUAACCCCGGCGGGAUGACGUGGCAUGUCAUUAGCCGCUAAUGACCCAGCUAACCACCCCUAGAGCCACUGCCAUGUGGGCCCCAGCGCCUAAACUAAUUAGCUCAAUUUCUCUGUUAGAUUAGCACUAAUCCCAGGGGGGCCGCCUGUCAGCUUUGACCUUGGUCAAGUCAACGUUGACCGGUCCCACCGGUCAUACACCCAAACCAGCCUGUGACACUGACCGAAGGGCCCCACUGGUCAGGUUUGACCUGGACCGCGCCCGUUGACCGCUGACGUCACCCUGACGUAAUGCUGACGCAAUUAACAAUUUUCUGGAUUUAAAAUAAAUCCAGGAAAUUUCAGAAAAUAUCCUAAACUUCUAAAAAUCAUAGAAAUUCAACCGUAACUCCAAAUGAAAUACAUUAUAUAUGAAAAAUGAUCAGAAAAAUCCAAUCUAUCCAUCUGUACCAUUUUCAUGCAUGUUAGAACAACUUAUAGCUGCUGUUUAGCACAAAUCAUUUAAAUGGCAUUUGAAUAAUCACAUAUGGAGUUUGAAUUUGAAUCUUGUAUUCAAACCAACUCCAUUUAAUCUGUUGCUAGUUGCAUUAGCUCAAACCACAGCAUAUUGCCUUGUCAUGAUCAUGCAUCAUAUUGUGCAUUUGCAUUGAUUGUGUUUCUUUCUCAGUUGCCGGUAAUUGCCCCCUCUUGAUAGACGCGUUCCGACGAUGAGUUCGAUGACACCGAUGAAGAGAUAUAUUGUCUUCAGAAGUGCCAGGCAAGCAAAACCCCCUUGUUCAUUCCGAUACAAUCCCACUCUCUCGCUCCUGCUCUCUUUUACUGCAUUAGGACAACAACGUUUCAACUGUUACAUGCUGCGGUAGUUGAACCCCUUUAUCCUCUGCAUGACCUGUCAUUCCACAGUAAAUAGAUGAAACCCACUAGCAUGAGUAGGAGUUGUUUGAGCCCUGAUGUGCCUACUCAUUCAUGCUUGUUUGUCAUGCCUGCUAUUGCUUAGAGUUGUGUCAGGUCUGAUUCAUCGGGAAUGAAUCGGAGGUGUGUGAACAUGUCGUACUGUUGAGAGCUAAAUGUGUGAACACGAUUUGGUAAAGGUAGCGGUGAGAGGCCAUGUAGGAGUACAUGGUGGGUUGUCUCAUUGCAGCCGUCCUCAGGAACUGAGUUCUGUGUUUGUGAUCCAUGAACAGUUACUACCACACAUUGGGUUCCGG